UCGAGGGGCAGCAUUUCAGUUUGCUUGCAAACUGGAGAUGGCGACCGGCGCACGGGUGAGUAACACGCUAUCCAACCUGCCGAUAACUCGGGGAUAGCCUUUCGAAAGAAAGAUUAAUACCCGAUGGUAUAAUCAGACCGCAUGGUCUUNUUAUUAAAGAAUUUCGGUUAUCGAUGGGGAUGCGUUCCAUUAGGCAGUUGGUGAGGUAACGGCUCACCAAACCUUCNAUGGAUAGGGGUUCUGAGAGGAAGGUCCCCCACAUUGGAACUGAGACACGGUCCAAACUNAUACGGGAGGCAGCAGUGAGGAAUAUUGGUCAAUGGGCGCAGGCCUGAACCAGCCAAGUAGCGUGAAGGAUGACUGCCCUAUGGGUUGUAAACUUCUUUUAUAUGGGAAAUAAAGUUUUCCACGUGUGGAAUUUUGUAUGUACCAUAUGAAUAAGGAUCGGCUAACUUCCGUGCCAGCAGCCGCGGUAAUACGGAGGAUCCGAGCGUUAUCCGGAUUUAUUGGGUUUAAAGGGAGCGUAGGUGGACAGUUAAGUCAGUUGUGAAAGUUUGCGGCUCAACCGUAAAAUUGCAGUUGAUACUGGCUGUCUUGAGUACAGUAGAGGUGGGCGGAAUUCGUGGUGUAGCGGUGAAAUGCUUAGAUAUCACGAAGAACUCCGAUUGCGAAGGCAGCUCACUGGACUGCAACUGACACUGAUGCUCGAAAGUGUGGGUAUCAAACAGGAUUAGAUACCCUGGUAGUCCACACAGUAAACGAUGAAUACUCGCUGUUUGCGAUAUACAGUAAGCGGCCAAGCGAAAGCAUUAAGUAUUCCACCUGGGGAGUACGCCGGCAACGGUGAAACUCAAAGGAAUUGACGGGGGCCCGCACAAGCGGAAGGAACAUGUGGUUUAAUUCGAUGAUACGCGAGGAACCUUACCCGGGCUUAAAAUUGCAUUUGAAUAUUUUGGAAACAGNNUAGCCGUAAGGCAAAUGUGAAGGUGCUGCAUGGUUGUCGUCAGCUCGUGCCGUGAGGUGUCGGCUUAAGUGCCAUAACGAGCGCAACCCUUAUCUUUAGUUACUAACAGGUCAUGCUGAGGACUCUAGAGAGACUNCCGUCGUAAGAUGUGAGGAAGGUGGGGAUGACGUCAAAUCAGCACGGCCCUUACGUCCGGGGCUACACACGUGUUACAAUGGGGGGUACAGAAGGCAGCUACCUGGUGACAGGAUGCUAAUCCCAAAAGCCUCUCUCAGUUCGGAUCGAAGUCUGCAACCCGACUUCGUGAAGCUGGAUUCGCUAGUAAUCGCGCAUCAGCCAUGGCGCGGUGAAUACGUUCCCGGGCCUUGUACACACCGCCCGUCAAGCCAUGAAAGCCGGGGGUACCUGAAGUACGAACCGCAAGGAGCUC
rnacentral:rRNA from 1 species